GCCUGGCUGGUUCAAUGGGUAGAACAUGAAACUCUUGAUCUCAGGGUUUUGAGUUCAAGCCCCACAUUGGGUG
rnacentral:tRNA from 1 species